rnacentral:rRNA from 1 species
UACGGAGGGUGCGAGCGUUGUCCGGAAUCACUGGGCGUAAAGGGCGCGUAGGCGGCGCGACAAGUCAACGGUGAAAGCUCGGCGCUCAACGCCGAGUCGGCCGUCGAUACUGUUGGGCUUGAGCACUGUAGAGGCUAAUGGAAUUCCGGGUGUAGCGGUGGAAUGCGUAGAGAUCCGGAAGAACACCGGUGGCGAAGGCGGUUAGCUGGGCAGUUGCUGACACUGAGGCGCGACAGCGUGGGGAGCAAACAGG